rnacentral:rRNA from 1 species
UAGGGAAUCUUCGGCAAUGGACGGAAGUCUGACCGAGCAACGCCGCGUGAGUGAAGAAGGUUUUCGGAUCGUAAAGCUCUGUUGUUAGAGAAGAACGUCGGUAGGAGUGGACAAUCUACCAAGUGACGGUAACUAACCAGAAAGGGACGGCUAACUACGUGCCAGCAGCCGCGGUAAUACGUAGGUCCCGAGCGUUGUCCGGAUUUAUUGGGCGUAAAGCGAGCGCAGGCGGUUCUUUAAGUCUGAAGUUAAAGGCAGUGGCUUAACCAUUGUACGCUUUGGAAACUGGAGGACUUGGGUGCAGAAGGGGAGAGUGGAAUUCCAGGUGUAGCGGUGAAAUGCGUAAAUAUAUGGAGGAACACCUGUGGCGAAAGCUGCUCUCUGGUCUGUAACUGACGCUGAGGCUCGAAAGCGUGGGGGGCAAACAGG